UUGGUUUGGUGUGAGAGGGGUUUCGGUUGAUCCUCUGCAGAUUGAUAAGAUCGGGCCAAGAGAUGACUCUGCAGGAAUGACUUCCACCUGGUCGGAAGAUUAGUCCUCUGUUAUGGAUACUCUACUUUGGCCAUUCAUGGCAGGAAUAAUCAGGUUUACGGAUGAGAUAACUAAUCAGCAGAAUUAGUGACAGAGAGAAGUGACAUUAGUGGCCACCUGCUUUCUACCGACAAUGCAACGAAGGGUGGGUUGGACCCAACCGCUUUGAGUUGUCAAUUGCCACAUUAGGGUUUCGCAACUUUUUGUGAGUAAGGGGUUCUGCUUUUCAUUUUUUGUAGUUAUUGUGGGGGUGUGGCAGAAAUUGGUAUGAUACUUGCAGAUGCUGUCUACAUAUUCUCUCCAGUUUUCACGACUGCCCAGAAUCCAUCACACGAAAAGGAAAGACAGCGUGAUUUAUGGAACUUUAGGAGGUGAACAAUCGUCACAGUAAAACAACGGGGCCCAAAUUCUACAUUUUUCUAUUCUUGUCUCGGUAGCCACGUCUUGAAGAUAAUUCUGGAGCUGGGUCCCAUUCUUUGGCGAUAGAAUCUACUCCCAAGAGAAAGAAAAGUAAAGAUUAAUCAUGGAAAUAAGAAGGGUUUACUAACGAGGAGGCUCUGCCACAGCCUCUGCACAAACCCAAUCUUUGAACAAGCUGUUCAGGGUAGGGUGGGUUGGACCCACCCACUUUGUUGGGGGGAGCUAAACCUGGAAGAAGUUUCUGAAUCGUUCAGCUGUGGAAGGACGUGAUCGUGAGGGAGAGAAGGGAUCUUUGCCUGAUUCUGUUACAUGUUAUCUGAUGAUCAAUGCAAGUGUUUUGGACUAUUUUAUAACUGAUGAGGUACGUAUGGGCUUCUUCUGUAGGACUUGGAGAUGCCUUUGCAUGGGUGUCUGAAAGCAAAAUUUAAUAGUUGGACAAACGAGACGAUCAAAUCACGUUUCAAUUUUCUAGAUUUGUUUAUUUAUUUAUUUUUCUUGAAUGGGUUAGAGGUGCAUCUUUUGACGGUGUUAACCUGGAUAGUGUGUAAAGAAGGCUUCCUAGUCUCUCUUAGUCCUUGCAUUUUGAGCUACCCAUUUGUCGGCAUGCAAGAUGAAGUGUCCAUGUCUAUUGAAGUCAAGUGUCCUCCACACACUAAUGUUUCUAUCAGAAAUGAUAAUAAAAAAGAGUUUUGAAGUACAAUGAUGUUUCAAAUA